rnacentral:rRNA from 1 species
AUUCCAGCUCCAAUAGCGUAUAUUAAAGUUGUUGCAGUUAAAAAGCUCGUAGUCGGAUUUUGGCAUCACGCCGCACUGUCUGCCGAUUGGUAAGUACGGUUUGGCGGGUGCUUCCUUCCGGUGCUGCGUUCUGCUCUUAGUUGAGCGGUUCGUUGGUUCCGGUUCUUUUACUUUGAGAAAAUUAGAGUGUUCAAAGCAGGCCUAUGCUCUGAAUAGGUUAGCAUGGAAUAAUAGAAUAGGACUUUGGUUCUAUUUUGUUGGUUUCUAGGACCGAAGUAAUGAUAAAUAGGGACAGUUGGGGGCAUUCAUAUUCCAUUGUCAGAGGUGAAAUUCUUGGAUUAACGGAAGAUGAACUUCUGCGAAAGCAUCUGCCAAGGAUGUUUUCAUUA